AGUGAACGCUGGCGGUAGGCCUAACACAUGCAAGUCGAACGGCAGCACAGUAAGAGCUUGCUCUUACGGGUGGCGAGUGGCGGACGGGUGAGGAAUACAUCGGAAUCUACUUUUUCGUGGGGGAUAACGUAGGGAAACUUACGCUAAUACCGCAUACGAUCUACGGGUGAAAGCAGGGGAUCUUCGGCCCUUGCGCGAUUGAAUGAGCCGAUGUCGGAUUAGCUAGUUGGCGGGGUAAAGGCCCACCAAGGCGACGAUCCGUAGCUGGUCUGAGAGGAUGAUCAGCCACACUGGAACUGAGACACGGUCCAGACUCCUACGGGAGGCAGCAGUGGGGAAUAUUGGACAAUGGGCGCAAGCCUGAUCCAGCCAUACCGCGUGAGUGAAGAAGGCCUUCGGGUUGUAAAGCCCUUUUGUUGGGAAAGAAAAGCAGCAGGUUAAUACCCCGCUGUGCUGACGGUACCCAAAGAAUAAGCACCGGCUAACUUCGUG
rnacentral:rRNA from 1 species